GCCUUCAUGGUAUCAUGGUCAGCACGCUCGACGCGUAACCGAGAGGUCCGAGGUUUGAAUCCCGGAGAAGGCG
rnacentral:tRNA from 1 species